rnacentral:rRNA from 1 species
UUAAGCAUAUCAAUAAGCGGAGGAAAAGAAACCAACAGGGAUUGCCCUAGUAACGGCGAGUGAAGCGGCAACAGCUCAAAUUUGAAAUCUGGCUUCGGCCCGAGUUGUAAUUUGUAGAGGAAGCUUUAGGCGCGGCACCUUCUGAGUCCCCUGGAACGGGGCGCCAUAGAGGGUGAGAGCCCCGUAUAGUUGGAUGCCUAGCCUGUGUAAAGCUCCUUCGACGAGUCGAGUAGUUUGGGAAUGCUGCUCAAAAUGGGAGGUAAAUUUCUUCUAAAGCUAAAUACCGGCCAGAGACCGAUAGCGCACAAGUAGAGUGAUCGAAAGAUGAAAAGCACUUUGAAAAGAGGGUUAAAUAGCACGUGAAAUUGUUGAAAGGGAAGCGCUUGUGACCAGACUUGCGCCGGGCGGAUCAUCCGGUGUUCUCACCGGUGCACUCCGCCCGGCUCAGGCCAGCAUCGGUUCUCGCGGGGGGAUAAAGGUCCUGGGAACGUAGCUCCUCCGGGAGUGUUAUAGCCCAGGGCGUAAUGCCCUCGCGGGGACCGAGGUUCGCGCAUCUGCAAGGAUGCUGGCGUAAUGGUCAUCAGCGACCCGUCUUGAAACACGGACCAAGGAGUCAAGGUUUUGCGCGAGUGUUUGGGUGUAAAACCCGCACGCGUAAUGAAAGUGAACGUAGGUGAGAGCUUCGGCGCAUCAUCGACCGAUCCUGAUGUAUUCGGAUGGAUUUGAGUAAGAGCGUUAAGCCUUGGACCCGAAAGAUGGUGAACUAUGCUUGGAUAGGGUGAAGCCAGAGGAAACUCUGGUGGAGGCUCGCAGCGGUUCUGACGUGCAAAUCGAUCGUCAAAUCUGAGCAUGGGGGCGAAAGACUAAUCGAACCAUCUAGUAGCUGGUUACCGCCGAA